AUUGAACGCUGGCGGCAGGCCUAACACAUGCAAGUCGAACGGUAACAGGAAGAAGCUUGCUUCUUUGCUGACGAGUGGCGGACGGGUGAGUAAUGUCUGGGAAACUGCCUGAUGGAGGGGGAUAACUACUGGAAACGGUAGCUAAUACCGCAUAACGUCGCAAGACCAAAGAGGGGGACCUUCGGGCCUCUUGCCAUCGGAUGUGCCCAGAUGGGAUUAGCUAGUAGGUGGGGUAACGGCUCACCUAGGCGACGAUCCCUAGCUGGUCUGAGAGGAUGACCGGCAACACUGAAACUAGGACACGGUCCAGACCCCUACGGGAGCAGCAGUGGGGAAUAUUGCACAAUGGGCGCAAGCCUGAUGCAGCCAUGCCGCGUGUAUGAAGAAGGCCUUCGGGUUGUAAAGUACUUUCAGCGGGGAGGAAGGGAGUAAAGUUAAUACCUUUGCUCAUUGACGUUACCCGCAGAAGAAGCACCGGCUAACUCCGUG
rnacentral:rRNA from 1 species